rnacentral:rRNA from 1 species
AGAGUUUGAUCCUGGCUCAGGAUGAACGCUAGCGACAGGCUUAACACAUGCAAGUCGAGGGGCAGCACGGUGUAGCAAUACACUGGUGGCGACCGGCGCACGGGUGAGUAACACGUGUGCAACCAACCCCGUACCGGGAGAUAACCCGCGGAAACGUGGACUAACAUCCCAUAACACUCUAGAGCCGCAUGGCUCUGGAUUUAAAAUUCCGGUGGUACGGGACGGGCACGCGCGACAUUAGGUAGUUGGCGGGGUAACGGCCCACCAAGCCGACGAUGUCUAGGGGUUCUGAGAGGAAGGUCCCCCACACUGGAACUGAGACACGGUCCAGACUCCUACGGGAGGCAGCAGUGAGGAAUAUUGGUCAAUGGGCGAGAGCCUGAACCAGCCAAGUCGCGUGAGGGAAGAAUGGUCUAUGGCCUGUAAACCUCUUUUGCCAGGGAAGAAUAAAAGGUACGUGUACCUUCUUGCCAGUACCUGACGAAUAAGCAUCGGCUAACUCCGUGCCAGCAGCCGCGGUAAUACGGGGGAUGCGAGCGUUAUCCGGAUUUAUUGGGUUUAAAGGGCGCGUAGGCGGGACGCCAAGUCAGCGGUAAAAGACUGCAGCUAAACUGUAGCACGCCGUUGAAACUGGCGACCUGGAGACGAGACGAGGGAGGCGGAACAAGUGAAGUAGCGGUGAAAUGCUUAGAUAUCACUUGGAACCCCGAUAGCGAAGGCAGCUUCCCAGGCUCGAUCUGACGCUGAUGCGCGAGAGCGUGGGUAGCGAACAGGAUUAGAUACCCUGGUAGUCCACGCCGUAAACGAUGCUCACUGGAUCUUGGCGAUACACUGCCAGGGUUCAAGCGAAAGUAUUAAGUGAGCCACCUGGGGAGUACGUCGGCAACGAUGAAACUCAAAGGAAUUGACGGGGGCCCGCACAAGCGGAGGAACAUGUG